rnacentral:rRNA from 1 species
GACAGAGGGGGCAAGCGUUGUCCGGACUGACUGGGCGUAAGCGCGCGCAGGCGGUCAGAGGCGUCGGUGCUCAAAGUCCACCGCUUAACGGUGGGAGGCGUGCCGAUACGCUCUGACUGGAGGGCGGGCGGAGGGUGGUGGAAUUGGCCGGGUGUAGUGGUGAAAUGCGUAGAGAUCGGCAGGAACACCAGUGGCGAAGGCGGCCACCUAGCCCGCACCUGACGCUGAGGCGCGACAGCGUGGGGAGCGAACUGG